ACUGACCUUCGCAAAGGACCAGAUCUCAGUUCUGCGACUGCAAGGGACUGAACUCUCUCAACAACCUGAAAGAGUAAGGAAACAGAUUCUCCACUAGAGUUUCCAGAAGGGAAUGCGGCCCACUAGCACCUUGACUGUAGCUGCAGGAGCACUGGACUUCCGAUCUACAGAAGUAUAAAAAAAAGUGGCUUUUAUAUCUAAGCAAUCGAUGAUAGAACCAAGCAUGGGUUC